UGCAAGUCGAACGAACCUUCGGGUUAGUGGCGGACGGGUGAGUAACGCAUGAGAAUCUGCCCUCAGGAGGGGGAUAACGGUUGGAAACGACCGCUAAUACCCCAUAUGCCUACUGGUGAAAUGAAUUUCGCCUGAGGAUGAGCUCGCGUCUGAUUAGCUAGUUGGUGAGGUAAUGGCUCACCAAGGCUUCGAUCAGUAGCUGGUCUGAGAGGAUGAUCAGCCACACUGGGACUGAGACACGGCCCACACUCCUACGGGAGGCAGCAGUGGGGAAUUUUCCGCAAUGGGCGAAAGCCUGACGGAGCAACGCCGCGUGAGGGACGAAGGCCUCUGGGCUGUAAACCUCUUUUCUCAAGGAAGAAGAUAUGACGGUACUUGAAGAAUAAGCCACGGCUAAUUCCGUGCCACCAGCCGCGGUAAUACGGGAGUGGCAAGCGUUAUCCGGAAUUAUUGGGCGUAAAGCGUCCGCG
rnacentral:rRNA from 1 species